UACAGAGGUGCCUGCGGAUACCGCGGGAGAAUAGGGAAGCUGAGUGAAAAGCUCACACGGUCGCGCCGCUGUAAGGGAGAAAACGUAUUUUCAGGGAUCCUGCUCUAUAUGGAUCCCGGUCACUGGGUCACACUGGAAUAGAACGAUUCCCGGGAAGGCCAGAAUACGGCAGAUGAUCCUAAGUCAGAAGACCUGCCUCGUACAUAA
rnacentral:ncRNA from 1 species